AUGAUCCCCGGUAUCAAAAAAAAAAAAGAAGUUUAUGGUAUAGCAAGAUGGUGGCAAGAUCUCCAGGCUUUGUGUAUGUGUGUGUGUGGACAACAGUGUCCAGAAAGAAUUUUAAGCUGCUCCUUCUUGGUGAAACCCCUUGGUGGACUUUACAUAUUUGUCUUAUUAAAAGAUAUUAAAUGCCCUUUUCUGAAUCACUGGCAUGGAUAAUGAAAACACUGUAACUGGCUAAAGUAAUCAAGAUUCUCCCACCUUAGGUUGUGAAUCUGCCUAUCUUGGAAGCUUACAGCCUUGUACUACCUGAGCAAAGUUGGAUCUGGUAGCAGAGAAAGGGCCAUGAGGGGAUCGACAGUAUCUGUCAGAAGUAUGUUACAGAUUGUGCCCCAACUCGGAGAAUUUAAAUCAGUGAUGCUCUGGAAGAAAUCAGAUCAGCUUAAAAAAGCAUUUGUGGUCUUGACUAUUCUGAAACAAAAUAGAAAAACUAGCACUAGUUUUAUUUUUAGACUAUAACUCUACAAAUACGUGUAUCAUAGAAAAUUGACAUAAUAAAAUGGCAAGUAUUGUCUUGCUUGACAUUUUUGUAUUUGACUGUUUUUAUUUUUGAAAUGUUUCAAAAGGAUAACACUUGUAGACACUACCCAGCUUUAAUAGAUUGUAACAUUUUGCUGUACAGUAUUUGCUUUAAGGUCCUUUGUUUAAAAAAGGAAAAGUUUUAAAAUACCAAAACCUUUGGGCCAGCAUGUGGCUCAGUAAUAGAGCACUUGCCUAGCAUGUCUGAGGCCCUGGGUUAAAUCCCCAGUAUCACAAACAAAACAAAACAUAAAACCACCAUCUCUAAUCUUAUUCCUCCUUUUUUGAAGAUAAGCACUACAUUAAAUUUGGUAAGUAUCUUGUCUGUUUUUGCUGUCUGUACUACGUGCAUGUGCUCAUACAUGCAUGCAUGUGGGUGCAUGCACAGAUGGAUGUACACAUAAGCAGUGUGUAACAUGAUGUUUGUGCUACAUGUAUCCUUUCCUAGCCUGCUUUUUCAAUUAAUAGUGUUUUGAAAUUUACACGUGUAACUGGUUCAUUUCUUCUAAAUGCUAUUUGGUAUUCUUUUGUAUGAUUCUAUUACAACUUAUCCUUUGUUGAAAGGAAAGUUUGAACAUGGUUUUCAAUUUUUUACCUUUUCACUGUUACAUUGCACAAAUAUCUGAAUGUCUUUUCUUGUGCACAUUAGAGUUUGUAUGUGGGGUAAGUAGUUAGAAGUAAAAUUGUUGGGCUAAAUAUUUCGAGAUGUUUCUCCACAGUAGUAGACCCAGUUGAUGCUCCCUUCUGCAGGUUAUGAAAGUUCUUAUUUCUCCACUCUUGUUCUGCAUUUGAUAUUAGCUCGACUUAACAUUUUUGC
rnacentral:lncRNA from 1 species